ACACACACACGCACACACACGCUUCCUCCUUCAUUGUCCCCGCAACCUCUCAUCUAAGGGGAUCUAAACCACUUAUCCCAUCAGUGUGUGUGUGUGUGUGUGUGU